AGAGUUUGAUCCUGGCUCAGGAUGAACGCUAGCGAUAGGCUUAACACAUGCAAGUCGAGGGGCAGCAUGGUCUUAGCUUGCUAAGACUGAUGGCGACCGGCGCACGGGUGCGUAACGCGUAUGCAACUUGCCUUACAGAGGGGGAUAACCCGUUGAAAGACGGACUAAAACCGCAUACACUUGUAUUAUUGCAUGAUAUUACAAGGAAAUAUUUAUAGCUGUAAGAUAGGCAUGCGUCCCAUUAGCUUGUUGGUGAGGUAACGGCUCACCAAGGCGACGAUGGGUAGGGGAACUGAGAGGUUUAUCCCCCACACUGGUACUGAGACACGGACCAGACUCCUACGGGAGGCAGCAGUGAGGAAUAUUGGUCAAUGGGCGAGAGCCUGAACCAGCCAAGUCGCGUGAAGGAUGACUGUCUUAUGGAUUGUAAACUUCUUUUAUACGGGAAUAACAAGAGCCACGUGUGGCUCCCUGCAUGUACCGUAUGAAUAAGCAUCGGCUAACUCCGUGCCAGCAGCCGCGGUAAUACGGAGGAUGCGAGCGUUAUCCGGAUUUAUUGGGUUUAAAGGGUGCGUAGGUUGUUCGGUAAGUCAGCGGUGAAACCUGAGCGCUCAACGUUCAGCCUGCCGUUGAAACUGCCGGGCUUGAGUUCAGUGGCGGCAGGCGGAAUUCGUGGUGUAGCGGUGAAAUGCAUAGAUAUCACGAGGAACUCCGAUUGCGAAGGCAGCUUGCCAUACUGCGACUGACACUGAAGCACGAAGGCGUGGGUAUCAAACAGGAUUAGAUACCCUGGUAGUCCACGCAGUAAACGAUGAUAACUGGGCGUAUGCGAUAUACAGUAUGCUCCUAAGCGAAAGCGUUAAGUUAUCCACCUGGGGAGUACGCCGGCAACGGUGAAACUCAAAGGAAUUGACGGGGGCCC
rnacentral:rRNA from 1 species